rnacentral:rRNA from 1 species
AUAAUGGGUCAGCGACUUAUAUUCUGUAGCAAGGUUAACCGAAUAGGGGAGCCGAAGGGAAACCGAGUCUUAACUGGGCGUUAAGUUGCAGGGUAUAGACCCGAAACCCGGUGAUCUAGCCAUGGGCAGGUUGAAGGUUGGGUAACACUAACUGGAGGACCGAACCGACUAAUGUUGAAAAAUUAGCGGAUGACUUGUGGCUGGGGGUGAAAGGCCAAUCAAACCGGGAGAUAGCUGGUUCUCCCCGAAAGCUAUUUAGGUAGCGCCUCGUGAAUUCAUCUCCGGGGGUAGAGCACUGUUUCGGCAAGGGGGUCAUCCCGACUUACCAACCCGAUGCAAACUGCGAAUACCGGAGAAUGUUAUCACGGGAGACACACGGCGGGUGCUAACGUCCGUCGUGAAGAGGGAAACAACCCAGACCGCCAGCUAAGGUCCCAAAGUCAUGGUUAAGUGGGAAACGAUGUGGGAAGGCCCAGACAGCCAGGAUGUUGGCUUAGAAGCAGCCAUCAUUUAAAGAAAGCGUAAUAGCUCACUGGUCGAGUCGGCCUGCGCGGAAGAUGUAACGGGGCUAAACCAUGCACCGAAGCUGCGGCAGCGACGCUUAUGCGUUGUUGGGUAGGGGAGCGUUCUGUAAGCCUGUGAAGGUGUACUGUGAGGUAUGCUGGAGGUAUCAGAAGUGC